CAGAGAGUCACCUUGCCACAAGGCCAGGAAGGCUCAAGAGCAACAAAGCAGAUGCAGAGUACCAAAUCUCUGAAAAUCACACCUAUAAUUUAAUCUUACCUAUCAGUUGGAUGAUUUGCAGCCUGAUCCCAGGAAAGCUGGAGCUUGUUGGUGUGAGACUCAUCUAUUUUACAAUGCUUUCCUGGUACACAGGGAGUAACAUGCCAACUCUUCCCAUGCUGUUCCAGGUAACUCCUUUAGCCAUGAUAAGAAGUGUUGUCCAAGAAACUGGGAUUAUAGCCCUCAGAAAACAAACAAAACUUCUUACAAGGGAGCAUCUG